AGUUUUCCAGAAGUUCUCAAAAUUCUUUUUUUCUCUCUCUCCUUCCCUCUCUCUCGUAGAGCUUGCACGCAACCAUGAACCUCAGCCCUCAAGUCUCUCAGUCAUCCUCCGUUAAAAGGAUGUGGGCAUAUUAUUUUUGGUCCAACGUUGUUUUCCAACAAUUUGUUUAUAGGGAAAAUAUGGCCAAGCAUUUAUGUUCUCCCACGCAAGGAAUGUUGUUGAUGGGGCAAAAAAGACAGAUACAUGUUAACUGGUCUGCAUAACGUUGCUGAUAUCCACUGUGGUGAUUGCCAUGAGGUGUUGGGCUGGAAGUACGAACGAGUUUAUGAGGCAUCGCAUAAGUAUAAAGAAGGGAAGCUCGUACUUGAGAAGUAAAAAAUUGUGAAGGAAGAUUGGUAGCAAAGGGUCCUGCCAUUUGUUCUGAUUUCUGUGUUUAAGUGUACCAAUAUGCAGUUCCUACAUAUGUUGUGUUCGUGUUUGUACAGAAACUUGGCAUUCCUUGACAAUCUAUCAUUGUUUCUUGCGGUUUGAUUCU